UAACAUGGUACAGGGUUUGAAUGAAGGCGAAAGAUCGUGUAAGUGGGAGAGAAUGGGGAGGGCAAGGACAGGUUCCAAAGACCUCUUACCGUUAGUGCUGGAUCAUGAGGCAUAGCCGCUGCUGGGAAUCCCUGCCCUGUGUUGCUCUUUCUCACGACACUGUCCUUUUCUUCCUUAGCAGUUGCUCACAAUCAGUACCUCUAUAUUUACCGGCAUGUUUAUUUAUUUAGUGGUCUACCUCACCAGGCUGUAGAUUUCCUGAGGUGGGCCACAUGGGCCACUCCGACUUGUUCCCUGUGGUAUUCCCAGCACAAAGCCCAGUGCCUGGUGUGUAGUAUGCAGUCAACAAAAAUCUGUUGAAUGAAUAAAUGAAUGAUUAGGUGAUUCAUAAAUAGCAAUAGAUGCCAUUACUGAAUGUCUAUUAGGUAACACAUACUGUGGUAGUAAGCGUGUAGAUGAUCAAAUUUAAUACAUUCAACAAUACCAGGUAAAUUUUAUUAUAUCAGCUUUAUAGAAGAAUGGAGGACUAGAAAAGAUCAGUAAUUUGCCCAAUGUCAUACCACAAGUACCUGGCUAAAGCCAUACCCACGUAGGUCUAACUCCAACGUCCGUGCUGUGAAUCACUGCAUAAUAGUGCCUCCCAUUUAUUGAGUGUGUACUAUGUGCCAGUCAUUUGGAACCACUUGACCUCACUUCAUUUUCUCACUUACUUCUAGCAACAAGUCUAUGAGUUAGAUGUUAUGAGCCUCAUUUAAUAGAUGAGAAAACAGAUUCCGAGAUGUUUAUUCAUUCACUCAACACAUAUUUCUUUUCUGUCUAGCAAUUGCCAGGCACUUCCUCCUGAAGAUAAAAUGGUGAGACAAGUAGACAUCAUCCCUGCCCAUGUGGAGCUUACGGUCCAGUGCGGGAGGCAGGCUGUGAUCAGAUGUGCAACGACAAGCUAAGUGAGAAGUGCUAUGAGGGGAAGUCCGAGGUGUCACAUGCAGACCCCACAGCUUCCAGUCAGAAGAGCAGACUUGUGAAGACUCCUGCAGUGGAAACGGAUUCACCUCUGGCUCCGGCUCCAGUUACUGAACUUCUCGCACAGACUGGUGCACCAGUGCCCUUGGCAUUGCCUUUGUUGAUCUGGCUGGGCCACAGGUAACUUUCCAAUGUUUUAGCUGGGGCCAUAUACAAGGACCAAACCCGCACCUCUUUCAACUCCUCUGUGUAAGCUUUGGAGACUGAAGAAAAAUGCAGCGGUUUUUGUUGUGGUAGAGGUAGUGCUGUCACCCAGGUUGUCUGGUGUUUUAGCUUCGUAUUGUGCUCUUCCAGUUGGAGGGUGUCACAACUGCCUGCCCACAUCCAGCCACACACCUUUCUCAUCCAGCCACACGGGUGAUGCCCCAUACACAGCUCCACCACUGGGUUCUCAUUAGCUGGCCUCCCAGCCACAAUGACUGUUGAGUGUUGACAGGUGCCAUAGAUUCACACUCCAGGAUCUUCCAUUGCAAAACUGACGCUGAUGCCAGCGGCUUUGUUCCACACAGUGCUGACGUUUCAUUUGUAGCCAGAAAGGAGUCAGGAAGUUUAAGGUUAAUCAAAUCUGAUGUUAGCACACUCCUGUAGGAUAUGACCAUCAGAUGGUCCAGCAAAUCCCACUUUUUAUCAAAAUAUUUUAUUGUGCAUAUGUGAAUGCAAUGACUGCCAAUGGACAACAAUUUGAUUUGAUGCAUACAUUUUUUGACUGCUAGUUCUUGUCUGAUGUUUUAACCCUAAGUCAAUUAUUCUUGCUUUUGUAAUAAUUGUCUUGAUUUUGCAUAUUCUAUCAAUGAAUAGUGCUCAUCUGAACUCAUCAAUGUCCCUUGUUCGAGUAACCUAUGAUUUUUGAAGGCCUGGGACUAAAUUCAGGCUUUAGAGCCCUGAGAUAACUCCUGGAAAUUUCAUCCAACAAUCUCAGCCUCAAUGUCCCCACCACAUGCUAAGUGGAAUUAAGGAUUCCUCCGAAUCCCAUUCUCCUCCCGCCACAUUACUUCUUUCUUUUUUCCAGCAGAGACAAGAGAAUCUGCUUAUGACAGAUUGCACCUCAGGAAAGAAGUAGCCCUAUGACGUGUGUGGGCAACACAAUUUAAGAUUCUACGGGCUUAUGCCCAACCCAUUAUUUUAAGGAUGAGAAACAGUAAAGGGAAAAGUUGGUUCAAGCAAUCCUGAGUCUGUUCAUUAACCGGGAGACAGAAAGGAAUAAAAUAAGACUUUCCUGAUUAUUUCA
rnacentral:lncRNA from 1 species